rnacentral:rRNA from 1 species
CAGUCGCCGCGGGAAUACGUAGGUGGCGAGCGUUGUCCGGAAUUAUUGGGCGUAAAGGGAGCGCAGGCGGACAUAUAAGUCCAUCUUAAAAGUGCGGGGCUCAACCCCGUGAGGGGAUGGAAACUGUAUGCCUUGAGUGCAGGAGAGGAAAGCGGAAUUCCCAGUGUAGCGAUGAAAUGCGUAGAUAUUGGGAGGAACACCAGUGGCGAAGGCGGCUUUCUGGACUGCAACUGACGCUGAGGCUCGAAAGCCAGGGGAGCGAACGGGAUUAGAUACCCCCGUAGUCCCUGUCUCUUAUACC